CAACACCCGUCCGGCAAAGGCGCAGCCCGCCAGCCGGAAGCGAGUCUUGCAUGGACGGCGGCAACGUCAUUCGUGAAGCGUAGACAGCGGGUGAUGAAGCGGUGGGGUACGCAAAGCGAUAUCAUCGGCGUGCAUUGACGAUCU
rnacentral:ncRNA from 1 species